GAUAAAAUCUUUUUUAGUUUUUAAAGAAAUAAAAAAAUAAUUAAUUUCCUAAGUUUUAAAUACUGUUCUUUGCAUAACAACCAAUUUUAUCCCUUCUUACAGUUAAAGCACUAGGUUCCUGUAACUUUAUAUUAGAGUUUCUUCUAUAGAUAGUUAUAUCCUAGAAAUAUUUCAUUUAAAUUCUAUUUAUUGCAAAACCAGUUUUGGAGAGAUGACAGGGCUUUCUAUAUUAUAGGGUAUCUAUUUCCUUUUGUUAGUCACUAAGCCCUUGAAAAUUAGGAAUAAAUACAUACGUGUUCAAUAAUUAACAUAAAAUUCUCUAUUAUGAAUAGUGAAGGGAGAGAAAAAGAGAAGGUGAGAAAUAAGAAAAACAAGUACACUGACAAGGAUAGAGAAGCCGUACAUAUAUAUCAUUUUUGCAGGGAAAGAAAGACAGACUCCUAGAGAGAACAGGCACAGAAACAGACAGGAAUAGGUAUACCAAGAGAAGGGAAAAAGCUUAUGUUUGAGAUAGGCAAAAGGAGAGUAAUAGAGAUUUAGAGGAAGAUGGGGAAAAGAAAAAAGGAAGCUUAGUAGGUUUUAAUGUGAGUCCUUCUGACUCCUGGGAUUGUGGGCAACAAUAAAGGCUAACACCUAUCAUUAACUUAUCUUUGCCCUUCACCUCAAGAAAUAUUUGUUGAAUGCCCUACGUGCCAGGUACAGUGCAAUUUCUACAGGGCCCACUGGAGAUAUUGUCAUGAAGUUUAUAUUUUAAGGAAUAGUCAAUUACAACUCAGUGUUCCAAUAAAGUCCUAUGGAAGCAACUCAGGAAGGAUAGAGUCCAUCUGUGGCUUUUACUUGGAAGGAAUCUCUUUUGGUUUUCCUUUAUUAAAGCAGCUUUCUCUCCUUACUCUUAGUCCAUCCAAUUUGAGAAGUGCUGUUUACCCUCACCCCAGUCUAUGGGAAGGCACAAGAUAUCCCAGUCAUUCACUGGUCCCAGUGGUUUAUUCAGAUAGUCCAAUUAAAAUUUAGUUGUGCUGAAAUUGGACUUUGCUGGAACUUUCUUCCCUUUACAAAUUUUAACCUGGUAGGAUAUAAGUUUGGAGUUGCUGGUGAUCAUUUUUCCAAACGCUUGGAAAGAGCCUGCUUGAGAAAGAAUCUAACACAGAGGCAAGCAGAACUUAGGAAGGGAAAGAGACUGAUAAUGAUACUAAGAACUUAGAUGCAGUCUCGCCUGGAUCACCUUGUUUCCCCCUGAAUUUCUGUUUACUUAAGCAAAUAAUCUCCCUCUCUCUUUGCUUACACCAGUUGGAAUUGGGUUUCUCCUGUUUGCAACCCACAAAGUCCUGAUUAAUAUACCUAAUUUUAUUCGUUUGUUUUGCUGAAGGUAAUGAUGAUAUAGUCAGGAAAGACUUUCUAAACCUGUCACUGGCCAUAAUUAAAGGUCACAAGAAAUGUACAGAAAAAUAUUACGUAAGGCCUCCCUCAACAGAAGGAAAUGCUCUAAUUAUAAGUUGAAAAGUCCUUUUAUGUGUAUUCUGUAUGUGUCUCUGUGUGUAUUUCCCUUUCUGCCGCACAUAGGACCUCCCUCCUUGCAUGUACAAUAUAAAUAUGUACUUACAUAAAUGUGUAUGGGUAACUGCAGUAAUAUUUCUAUCAAUAUACAUUUAUUGAUCACUUCAUGUCACACAUGCCAGGAAAUAUCCUAUUAUACUGGACAAAGCACUCAUUCACUAACAAGAUAAGAAAAAGGUCCUUUCUUCAUGGUAAUUUCAUUCUGGGAGACAGUGCAAGAGGAGUUGACAGAAAAUAAACAUGUAAACAAAUAAAUGGACAGCAUAAUUCCUGAUAGUAUUAAGUGCUAAGAACUGAAACAACAACAACAAAAACAGCAUAAUGGGAUUGAGUGGUGGUGGGGCGGCAGGUACUUUAGUUAUAGUGGGCAGGAACUAGCUCUUGUAGAAAGGGGCAAUUGAAGUAAGGAGGCAAUUAUAAAAGAUCUGGGGGCAGAGUGGUCUAGUCAGUGCUUCUUAAGCAAGGCGAUUGACGUUUGCCCACCACCACACCACAAGACAUUUGGUAAUGCCUAGAGACAAUUUUGGUUGUCACCGCUGGAGGAUUGCUACUGGCAGUGAAGAAAAUUCUGGAGAUGUGAGAGUAAAGUUAGUACCAGGGAGUCAUGGGCAUACAGAUGAACUUGAAAACUAUAAGACCCAGAAUAAGAUUACCUAAAGAGUGGCCAUAGAUGAAGAAGGUCACAAA